rnacentral:rRNA from 1 species
GAUGAACGCUGGCGGCGUGCCUAAUACAUGCAAGUCGAGCGAACGGACGAGAAGCUUGCUUCUCUGAUGUUAGCGGCGGACGGGUGAGUAACACGUGGAUAACCUACCUAUAAGACUGGGAUAACUUCGGGAAACCGGAGCUAAUACCGGACGAUAUUUUGAACCGCAUGGUUCAAAAGUGAAAGACGGUCUUGCUGUCACUUAUAGAUGUAUCCGCGCUGCAUUAGCUAGUUGGUAAGGUAACGGCUUACCAAGGCAACGAUGCAUAGCCGACCUGAGAGGGUGAUCGGCCACACUGGAACUGAGACACGGUCCAGACUCCUACGGGAGGCAGCAGUAGGGAAUCUUCCGCAAUGGGCGAAAGCCUGACGGAGCAACGCCGCGUGAGUGAUGAAGGUCUUCGGAUCGUAAAACUCUGUUAUUAGGGAAGAACAUAUGUGUAAGUAACUGUGCACAUCUUGACGGUACCUAAUCAGAAAGCCACGGCUAACUACGUG